AGCGAACGCUGGCGGCAGGCCUAACACAUGCAAGUCGAACGAACCUUUCGGGGUUAGUGGCGGACGGGUGAGUAACACGUGGGAACGUGCCUUUAGGUUCGGAAUAACUCAGGGAAACUUGUGCUAAUACCGAAUGUGCCCUUCGGGGGAAAGAUUUAUCGCCUUUAGAGCGGCCCGCGUCUGAUUAGCUAGUUGGUUGAGGUAAUGGCUCACCAAGGCGACGAUCAGUAGCUGGUCUGAGAGGAUGAUCAGCCACAUUGGGACUGAGACACGGCCCAAACUCCUACGGGAGCCAGCAGUGGGGAAUCUUGCGCAAUGGGCGAAAGCCUGACGCAGCCAUGCCGCGUGAAUGAUGAAGGUCUUAGGAUUGUAAAAUUCUUUCACCGGGGACGAUAAUGACGGUACCCGGAGAAGAAGCCCCGGCUAACUUCGUG
rnacentral:rRNA from 1 species